AAUAAGUGUUUUACUGCACUUUUUAAAAAUAGUACUCACCUAAAAAAAACACUUACACCAACCUAUAAUUUUGAACCACUUUGUCUGAAAAACUAUUAUGAAUACUUAAUUCAAAAUACAACUUUCAACAACGGAUCUCUUGGCUCU
rnacentral:misc_RNA from 1 species